GGGGAAUAUUGGACAAUGGGCGCAAGCCUGAUCCAGCCAUGCCGCGUGAGUGAUGAAGGCCUUAGGGUUGUAAAGCUCUUUCAGCGGGGAAGAUAAUGACGGUACCCGCAGAAGAAGCCCCGGCUAACUUCGUGCCAGCAGCCGCGGUAAUACGAAGGGGGCUAGCGUUGUUCGGAAUCACUGGGCGUAAAGCGCGCGUAGGCGGAUCAUUAAGUCAGGGGUGAAAUCCCGAGGCUCAACCUCGGAACUGCCUCUGAUACUGGUGAUCUUGAGUCCGGGAGAGGUGAGUGGAACUCCUAGUGUAGAGGUGAAAUUCGUAGAUAUUAGGAAGAACACCAGUGGCGAAGGCGGCUCACUGGCCCGGUACUGACGCUGAUGUGCGAAAGCGUGGGGAGCAAAC
rnacentral:rRNA from 1 species